AAAUUGAAGAGUUUGAUCAUGGCUCAGAUUGAACGCUGGCGGCAGGCCUAACACAUGCAAGUCGAACGGUAACAGGAAGCAGCUUGCUGCUUCGCUGACGAGUGGCGGACGGGUGAGUAAUGUCUGGGAAACUGCCUAUGGAGGGGGAUAACUACUGGAAACGGUGGCUAAUACCGCAUAACGUCGCAAGACCAAAGAGGGGGACCUU
rnacentral:rRNA from 2 species